AUAGCGACUGUCUAGAGCGACAGU
rnacentral:siRNA from 1 species